rnacentral:lncRNA from 1 species
UCCCAAGCUCGUUGGAGCAACCACCCCUGCCCAAUUUGGCAGCUCCGGACGCCAUUGCCUCCGUCAGUCCUGCUCAAAGUCGAGCUAGCGGUGACUCCCCUGACCCUCUUUUCCCCUCUAGAAGAACCACCAGAGCCCCUCGAGCCCUCCCCUAUCCUCGUUCCAUCCCUGGGUCAUUCGUGGCCUCGCCUUCGAAUCUGGCCGGAGCCCUCACCCGCGGGAGCCUACGUCGUCGCCGCUCGGAUCCUCGUCGCCGCCCAUGCUCUAGUAGGACGGAGGCGGCGUCCUCUCCUGAGCACGCCGGUGGCCGAGGCGCUUCGGGGGAUGGCCGGAGCCGUCGGGGGCCAGCGCCGGUGCCGCGCAGCCUCUCCUCUGCCUUCUCUGCCGCGGGAGGAAGAAGAAAGAGGAGGAGAGAGAGCGACUCGACAGGUGGGCCCUAACCCCACCUGUCGGUGAGAGGAGGUCUGAUACCGCUGGAUAAGUGGAUGCGUAACGCUAGUAAUGCGCUUUCCUUUUUGGAAAGCGUAUUUCCAGAGAAGGCGCCAUCAGUUUUUCCAGCUAGGACUUGAUAGUAAAUAUUUUAAUUGCAGAUCGGUCCUUCUACUUCAAACACCCAUAGCUUUUCAUCCAUAGCUCCGAUUAAGGUGAUUCCAACGCCCACGUCUUCGUCUCGUCGAGCCCUUCAUGUUGGUAUCAUUUUCAUUAUGUGUUCACAUUCUCAAAAUGACCAUGUUGCCCUUGCCCUUCUAUCAACCUUCUUCGAGAGAGAAUAGUUCCUGGCGAUCCUUUCUGCGGACUCUCCGCACUUCUUCCGGGAGUAUUCUUCUACCCCAUGCAAGCCAACCAUCUGAUAUAUGCCCUAAAGCAUUGCUCUGUGUUUUUCUUGUGUGUUUAAUUAAUGAUAUGCUUGUGGUAGAAAUAAUUAAACUCCCGCCAUUUCGAUAUUGUCAUUUACAUUACCUGCUACUGCUCAUCUUAUCAUUGCAUUCAUGACUUGUCGUGAUGGAUGGUUAUGUUUUUAUCAUGCUUAGCUACUACCAUCUCAAGUUAUUAUGAUAAACAACCAUGCUUGUUAAACACUUGCUAUGGCUAAACCUAGUCGGUUGAUCUAGAGUCACCUAUCGGGGCUUAUCCGUGCAACCACAUUUGCCGGUAUGGGACGAACUUGACUUGGUCUGAUCGUGUGCUCUUCCACCGGUACCACCAGACAGGGAAGGUUAUGCGCGCGCGCUACCUUGACCCGGUAGGCGGCGAUAACCUUGUGAGCCAGUUGAUUGUUUUGUGCCAGCGUCCCCGUUUGGGACAAUUUUGUUUGGCCACGACGGUGAAAGGUGUCAUGAGGACACAGGGGCCACCCAAGGCAGGACUCCGGGUGAGGAUGAAUGCCGGUGGUACGAUGGAAGAGGUACGGGUCAGGCAGGUUUCGUUGGAGCAACACAGGUCCAUCCGAAUGGGAUAACGAGGUCAGUGCUCCAUCGUGUGGGUAAAGUGUGCAACCUCUGCGGAGUGUAAAAUUUAUUAGAAUAGCCGUGUCCAGGGUAUUGGACAUCCCGUCUAGACCUCACUAGGUUGUCAACUGUAAAGGUGAUAAUAAUGAUGGAAGAACUCGUCUUGUGCAGACAUCCGAUGAUGUCAGGAAUAUGAUAUGUUAGCCAUGGGAUGGCUAUGAGAUGGGUGGACGGAUGACCACAUGAGUUGGAUUAGAUUUGGAUCAGAUUGAGAUUGGAUCGUCAUGACAUUCAGAGUAUAAAUCAUUUACUUAAUAUGCUUUACCUUAUCGUAUUUACUUUAGUAGUUAUCUUGCUAGAUAGUCCUAUUAUAUCAUGAUAUUUAAUCCUGCUAGAUAGGUAAGCUAUGCCAUGAUAAUUAACAUUGCUCUAAUAACAAGUGCAUGCUUGAAUGCCAUAGAUUGCAUUGCUUAGUGUAUAUGUUAGUUCGGUUUGCUUGCGAGUACAUUCAAAAGUACUUAGCGGCUUUUAACAUGGCCAGGUUCACGUAAGGAUCCAUCGUCCGCCAUCGAGGAACCGGAGCCUUCACGGGCUAGGAGAGUAACUAUUGGGGAUAUUAUCUGUUGGGUAACCCGCCCUA